rnacentral:lncRNA from 1 species
UGCUUAUCUGAAGUGCACCUCCCUUGUUAUUUAUUUUCCCCCUCCAUCCUUUGCUUAUGUCUUUGUAGGACCUAUUACAAGUUGAAACAAUAUGUUGAUGGCUUGUUUACUGUUCACUGUCUGCCUCCUCGCCAGGUGUAUAGUGGUGAACAAAAUAGACUUUGUCUGUGCUCUAUGGGGCAAAUUACUACCUGGCGAGGAGGCAGACAGUGAACAGUAAACAAGCCAUCAACAUAUUGUUUCAACUUGUAAUAGGUCCUACAAAGACAUAAGCAAAGGAUGGAGGGGGAAAAUAAAUAACAAGGGAGGUGCACUUCAGAUAAGCAGAAAUCUCUUAGGGGGAGAUAUUUAACUUCAGACCUGAAAGAUGAAAAGUAGCCAGAGAAGGAAAGAAGAGGCUGAGAGGGCAAAGAAUGUUCCAA